AUGUGUUUUCGGAAGUUCCUCUAUUCUUGUAUUUGCUCUUUUCUCUCUUGAUUUUGCUUUGCUUCUCUACAUGUCCGUAGACUCUUCGCCUUGAGUGGUGGUGGUAUGUUUGUGUGUAACAACGGUACUUUCGCUGCAAGGUUGGAGGGGCGGGCGUCGAGUGUGUUGUUUAUCAGCUGUGAUCUGUGCGUGUGAAACUUUUUCAUUGUGCUGAAACGGGUGAGUGAGAGUAAGAUUAGAAACAGAAUGCCGUGUGCAUGUAUACCUCAGCCUGAAGACUGAACCACCAGACUUGCUCAGAGCAGGAAUGAAGUACACGUAAUAUAAAUUGGAGCGUGAUUCAAAAAUCUGUUUGCUCUACAAAGUCGAUGAGUGCAUCUAAUCAGUUCUGCAGCGCCAUGGUGAACAUUGGGAGGUGUUGGCACGGAAGACGGAGCGGGAAAGGGUUCACGACAACUAUGCAGUGAGGAGGAUAUCAACUGAUUGUGCAUUUACAGUUAGCGGGUGAGCCCACGCUGUACCUCGUAGGAGAACCUGGCCAUGGGUAUCGGAGAAUGCAUAUCGUAUGCCGGGAUCGUGCGCGGCCUUGAACACUGACUCUGCUCGAUCACGGGUUCACAAUCGGUCAUUACGUUACCGGCGGCUUGCCAGCAACCAAUAUUGGAUGGUAUUCUUCCGAUCGGUGCUCCCUCCCUUCCUACAGCCUUCCAUUAACAUCUCCCGACAACAAGUUGGAGUUGCUUCUAGCACGGAUUAUGAUGGUGCUGUUGCUGAAGAGGAAUGUUUUGUUGCCUGGUUGCACUGGACAAGAUGGUUCACGCAGUGUAGUCGAUCUCCUGUUGGUGUCGAUUGUAUACCGUUUCAGAGGUAUGAAGAGGAGUGAGGAGCUUCCUUACUUCAAAAUUCUUUAUAUAAGGUGAAAAAGUGUACAAGGGCCAACCAUUUGGUGUUUGUACUCGAUGAUCCCUUCGAGCCGGAGGCCCAUCCCGGCCGCUCAGUGCGAUAGUGUUAGGUGC